rnacentral:rRNA from 1 species
CGGGUUAAGUCCCGUAACGAGCGCAACCCUUGUCCUUAGUUACCAGCACGUUAUGGUGGGCACUCUAAGGAGACUGCCGGUGACAACCGGAGGAAGGUGGGGAUGACGUCAAGUCAUCAUGGCCCUUACGGCCUGGGCUACACACGUGCUACAAUGGUCGGUACAAAGGGUUGCCAAGCCGCGAGGUGGAGCUAAUCCCAUAAAACCGAUCGUAGUCCGGAUCGCAGUCUGCAACUCGACUGCGUGAAGUCGGAAUCGCUAGUAAUCGUGAAUCAGAAUGUCACGGUGAAUACGUUCCCGGGCCUU